GGAGGAAAAGAAACCAACUGGGAUUACCUUAGUAACGGCGAGUGAAGCGGUAAAAGCUCAAAUUUGAAAUCUGGUACUUUCAGUGCCCGAGUUGUAAUUUGUAGAAUUUGUCUUUGAUUAGGUCCUUGUCUAUGUUCCUUGGAACAGGACGUCAUAGAGGGUGAGAAUCCCGUUUGGCGAGGAUACCUUUUCUCUGUAAGACUUUUUCGAAGAGUCGAGUUGUUUGGGAAUGCAGCUCAAAGUGGGUGGUAAAUUCCAUCUAAAGCUAAAUAUUGGCGAGAGACCGAUAGCGAACAAGUACAGUGAUGGAAAGAUGAAAAGAACUUUGAAAAGAGAGUGAAAAAGUACGUGAAAUUGUUGAAAGGGAAGGGCAUUUGAUCAGACAUGGUGUUUUUUGCAUGCACUCGCCUCUCGUGGGCUUGGGCCUCUCAAAAAUUUCACUGGGCCAACAUCAAUUCUGGCAGCAGGAUAAAUCAUUAAGAAUGUAGCUACUUCGGUAGUGUUAUAGCUUUUUGGAAUACUGUUAGCCGGGAUUGAGGACUGCGCUUCGGCAAGGAUGUUGGCAUAAUGGUUAAAUGCCGCCCGUCUUAACA
rnacentral:rRNA from 1 species